rnacentral:misc_RNA from 1 species
UAAUAAGUGUUUUAUGGCACUUUUUAAAUCCAUAUCCACCUUGUGUGCAAUGUCAGUCGAUCUUCUUCACUGGAGAUCGACCAAACAUCAACCUUUAUCUUUUAACUCUUUGUCUGAAAAAUAUUAUGAAUAAACAAUUCAAAAUA